rnacentral:rRNA from 1 species
GACGAACGCUGGCGGCGUGCUUAACACAUGCAAGUCGAACGGAAAGGCCCUGCUUUUGUGGGGUGCUCGAGUGGCGAACGGGUGAGUAACACGUGAGUAACCUGCCCUUGACUUUGGGAUAACUUCAGGAAACUGGGGCUAAUACCGGAUAGGAGCUCCUGCUGCAUGGUGGGGGUUGGAAAGUUUCGGCGGUUGGGGAUGGACUCGCGGCUUAUCAGCUGGUUGGUGGGGUAGUGGCUUACCAAGGCUUUGACGGGUAGCCGGCCUGAGAGGGUGACCGGCCACAUUGGGACUGCGAUACGGCCCAGAAUCCUACGGGAGGCAGCAGUGGGGAAUAUUGCACAAUGGGCGGAAGCCUGAGGCAGCAACGCCGCGUGCGGGAUGACGGCCUUCGGGUUGUAAACCGCUUUCGCCUGUGACGAAGCGUGAGUGACGGUAAUGGGUAAAGAAGCACCGGCUAACUACGUG